rnacentral:rRNA from 1 species
GAUGAACGCUAGCGGGAGGCCUAAUACAUGCAAGUCGAACGGUAACAGGUAGCAAUACGCUGACGAGUGGCGCACGGGUGCGUAACGCGUACACAAUCUGCCUUAUACUGGGGCAUAGCCUUUGGAAACGAAGAAUAAUUCCCCAUAACAUAUAGAAGAGGCAUCUCUUUUAUAUUAAAGCUCAGGCGGUAUAAGAUGAGUGUGCGUCCGAUUAGGUAGUUGGUGAGGUAACGGCUCACAAGCCAACGAUCGGUAGCUGGUCUGAGAGGAUGAUCAGCCACACGGGCACUGAGACACGGGCCCGACUCCUACGGGAGGCAGCAGUAGGGAAUAUUGGACAAUGGGCGCAAGCCUGAUCAGCCAUCCCGCGUGAAGGAUGAAGGUCCUCUGGAUU